rnacentral:rRNA from 1 species
GAUGAACGCUGGCGGCGUGCCUAAUACAUGCAAGUCGAGCGAACGGACGAGAAGCUUGCUUCUCUGAUGUUAGCGGCGGACGGGUGAGUAACACGUGGAUAACCUACCUAUAAGACUGGGAUAACUUCGGGAAACCGGAGCUAAUACCGGAUGAUAUUUUGAACCGCAUGGUUCAAAAGUGAAAGACGGUCUUGCUGUCACUUAUAGAUGGAUCCGCGCUGCAUUAGCUAGUUGGUAAGGUAACGGCUUACCAAGGCAACGAUGCAUAGCCGACCUGAGAGGGGGAUCGGCCACACGGGAACGGAGACGCGGUCCAGACGCCUACGGGAGGCAGCAGUAGGGAAUCUUCCGCAAUGGGCGAAAGCCUGACGGAGCAACGCCGCGUGAGUGAUGAAGGUCUUCGGAUCGUAAAACUCUGUUAUUAGGGAAGAACAUAUGUGUAAGUAACUGUGCACAUCUUGACGGUACCUAAUCAGAAAGCCACGGCUAACUACGUG